UACGGAGGGGACUAGCGUUGUUCGGAAUUACUGGGCGUAAAGCGCACGUAGGCGGAUUUGUAAGUCAGGGGUGAAAUCCCGGGGCUCAACCUCGGAACUGCCUUUGAUACUGCAAAUCUCGAGUCCGGAAGAGGUGAGUGGAACUCCGAGUGUAGAGGUGAAAUUCGUAGAUAUUCGGAAGAACACCAGUGGCGAAGGCGACUCACUGGCCCGUUACUGACGCUGAGGCGCGAAAGCGUGGGGAGCAAACAGGG
rnacentral:rRNA from 1 species